rnacentral:sRNA from 1 species
GGUAUUGUGCGUGUGUCACGUCGCGUAGUGUUUGUCUUAUGGAAUUUAACAAUUUGUUUUAUUUAUUUUUGUGGGCACAAUUAAAAAAACCUGAGCAAGUUUGUUACUCUGCUAUAAUGAAACAUGUUAAGGGGGUAAUAUGAAAAUAAAGUUAUUGUGAUAAGAGAAAUGCUAUCUUACAAAAAAGGGUGUACCAAUGACAGGCCGUCUACAACAGCAGCAUUCGCAUUAAGCAUGAAGUUUUGAGAGAAGUAUGGAAUGUUAUAUGUGCCUUCAUCAUACAUUCAUAUGGAAAGUGGAAAUUCAUGGUGGCGUUGGCAAAAAAUUCAACAUACAUUUUAAUGCCACACCAUAUUUAAUGUUGGUGGACUUAACAUUUGACAUAAUGUUAAUGAUAAAGUUUAUCAAAAGAACCAAAAGUUAAUCCCUUAAGUCUGCUCUCAAGUUCUCAACAAGUACACAAAUUGAACACACACACAUUCUUUUGAAAAAGCAGCAACGAAGCAAGAUGAGCUGAUGAGUGUAUUUAUUAGUAGACAUUUUCCGGCAACAUUGUAACAUUGCUAUGAGAGUUAAGUUCGGUGUUUUGUUUAUUUUAUGGAAUUUGACAUCUUCGUCGUUACUCAUUUUUGUUGGUGUAUUUUAUUUAAUCGUCGCUCCCGCAAAUAACAGGUGGAGAAUAGAAUUAGAAUCAAAAGCAAAAGAAAAAUAACAAUUUUCGUGUUGUAUUUUAUUAUUACACCCAUUUAUGGCAUAUUUUCUCGAUUAUAUCGGGCGAGAGAUUAAUUUGUAAUUAGUGUUAUUCAGUUAUCGUGGACCGAGCCAAGAUGCGUUGUGGUUAGUGGAAAAACGUAGUCAAACACCUGGACGGACAGACUAAAGACACGACGUACCGCAGUAAAAUAGUACACGGUAUCCCACGGUAUCCUUCCCAAAGAAUGGGAAGGACGGUGGCGGUGGCAGUGGAGUGGAGGAAGAGGUGGCGGUUUUAUUGAAAAGUGUCCUCACUAUUCAACCUGGACUCGGUAACUAUUAACAUAAAUCACUGAGUAAAAAGUGGACAUGUAAAAAAAGCCUCUGGUGCCGCCGACAAUCCGUAUGAAAUACUACAAUAACAAAUAAACCGCCGGGAAUCCGGAAGUUUAUGUCGAAUACUUCUACAUCUCUCCAAAACUUCAUGUUUAAAACUUAUGGUGCUGCUGCUUUUGUCGUCGGCAUGUUGUUGGAACACCCUUUUUAAGUACGAUUCCAUUACUCUCAUCACUGUAACUUUAUAUUCAUAUUAACACGUUUCAUUAUAGCAGAGAGCGUUGACAAAAAUAAAUUGUUAAAUUCCAUAAAACAAUCAAUACGAGAAGCAUGCAUACCACCUAUUUUGUGAGCAAUGUUGCAGCAACGUCCAAAUGCUGGAGUUUCGUCCCAGCGAUAAGUCGUCAAUACAAAUAUCGAUUGCGAACCCGUUUAAUCGAGUUUUGUCGCAGGGCACCGAUGAAUGACAAUUUCUCCCAUACACUUUUAAAAUUGUUUUGGGUUUUGCAUAGUCUUGUACUGAGUUCAACUUUUCGACCGAAAACCUGUCAAAACACACUAUAAGAAUAUGAUGACGAAAAGAAUACAAAGUCAUUCCGCAGAAGUAGUAUCAUGAUAUAAUUACUAGCGAAAAUGCCCAUUAAAUUAUUAUGAAAUCCCGCGUACGAAAAAGGACGCCCCUUUUUAAGUCAUGCGCCCCUUGGAGUUCAAAUAUUAAGGAAUACAACAAUGGCAAUGAAAUCCACUGAAUAAAUGGGGUCGUUCUUUUACUGUCGCCGAAAGCAAUUGAGCUCUACUAUUUACAUACAAUGUCAUAUCUGAACGCAUCAUGGCGGCAAGAUUAAAUUCAAAAUUCUGCAAAAUAUCUAUUGUACAAUGCUACGGGCCAACCGAACCCGAUGAUGACGAAACAAAGGAUCAAGGAUCAACACAGUGACACGUCCUCUACCAAAAAGAGACAUUAAACUUGUUAUGGGGGGAUUUCAAUGCCAAGGCGGGAAAUAAUAACAAUAAUCUACAAUCAAUCAUGAGAUGCAAGGACUUGGAAUGAUAAAUGCGACAGAUUGGUUGAUUUCUGCGCAAGAAACUGCCUCAUUAUUGGAGGCACAAAAUUCACCCAUAAAAAUAUACUUGGGAACCCCAGAUGGAAACACCCAUAGUCAAAUCAACCAUGUACUGGAUGUAAAAACUAGACGAGCAUCCGAAAUCGAUAGUGCUCUUAGUGGCCACUCCACGUCUACGACCAGCCGUCGUGAAAAGGAGUCAAACAAAAAUCGCACGCGACUUCAAAACAGCAUUAACUGAGAAGCUACAAAAUUUCACCCAGACAUAGGCCAACAUAACAACAGCAUGUACGGAGACGGCCAUCUCUAUCAUAGGCACUGCUAGACGAUUCCAAAAACUAUAGAGGAAAUAAAACACCGGAAACGUCUAAACAACACUCUGCUUCAGCAAAAUCAAGUGUAACAAAAUCCGCAGCCAAAACUGAAUAUCGUAAGCUCCGACCCUUUUAACCCCCCUGCGCACAGCUCCACCAAUCUGCGAAAAACCUGAAGCCGUUCUGGUCUCACUCAAAAGCUGACAAUGUACCUGUCGAACUGUUGCGGUAUGGGGCACACCUCAUAGCACAAGGGAUCGCCCUAAUAAUCAGAGAGGCCUGUGAUACAAACGCUGUCCCCUCGGAAAGGAAGAAGGGGAACAUGGUUACAAUCUCAAAGAAGGGUGGCAUUGUUAAACGCAAUAAAUAAAUUGAUGGUAUGUUUUCUUCUGCAGCGUAGACAGGUUUUCGACAAAGACGUUCCUGUGCUGACCACAUUAACAUUUUGCACAUAAUCAGUCUUUACAAUAUAAUACACACGCUUUGAGCAUGAUUUUGGUAUUGAUUCGCGAAGUCCAAUGUGAAGCACGCUAUUGAACAAAUAUAUCCCCGAAAAGAUCGUGACACUAAUCAGGGAGCUGUAAAGGAAUGCAGAAGUUUCAGUUCGUUUCCAUGUAAAAGAGAUCCGUUCUUUCGAGAUCAAUAAAGGGGUGAAGCAGGGGUGCAUCUUAACACGGAUGCUAUGUAUAAUUUUACUAGCUUCCGUCUUAGAGGCGACCAAUGCUGAGGUACCCUAUGACAUUCGCUGGGACCUACACGACUUUCUUGGUGACAUCGACUACGCGGAUGAUAUAUGCCUCUUGGCGUAUAGCUUUGAGCACAUAAAAGCGAAAUUGGAACUGAAGACGCGACCAAAGAAGGCCUGAAAAUAAACAUAGCUAAGACCAAAUUGAUGCGGAUACUACUAAAUUUUCCAUGAACGCUGCAAUAAGGAACAGAU